rnacentral:tRNA from 1 species
GCCUUCGUGGUGUAGUGGUCAGCACACUAAGCGCGUAUUCGAGAGGUCCGUGGUUCAAGUCCUGGUGAGGGCA